AUGGUAUGGGCGGCUGCCUUACCAUGCAAGUCGAACGGCAUCGCGGGAAAGCUUGCUUUCCUGGCGGCGAGUGGCGAACGGGUGAGUAACACAUCGGAACGUACCGGCUAGUGGGGGAUAACCCGUCGAAAGACGGGCUAAUACCGCAUACGCUCUUAGGAGGAAAGCAGGGGACCUUUGGGCCUUGCGCUAGCCGAGCGGCCGAUGUCCGAUUAGCUAGUUGGUGGGGUAAAGGCCUACCAAGGCGACGAUCGGUAGCGGGUCUGAGAGGACGAUCCGCCACACUGGGACUGAGACACGGCCCAGACUCCUACGGGAGGCAGCAGUGGGGAAUCUUGGACAAUGGGGGCAACCCUGAUCCAGCAAUGCCGCGUGGGUGAAGAAGGCCUUCGGGUUGUAAAGCCCUUUCGGCAGGGAAGAAAUCGGCGGGGCGAAUAACCCUGCUGGAUGACGGUACCUGCAGAAGAAGCACCGGCUAACUACGUGCCAGCAGCCGCGGUAAUACGUAGGGUGCGAGCGUUAAUCGGAUUUACUGGGCGUAAAGCGUGCGCAGGCGGCCCGUUAAGACAGGUGUGAAAUCCCUGGGCUCAACCUAGGAAUUGCGCUUGUGACUGGCGGGCUCGAGUACGGUAGAGGGGGGUGGAAUUCCUGGUGUAGCAGUGAAAUGCGUAGAGAUCAGGAGGAACACCGAUGGCGAAGGCAGCCCCCUGGGCCUGUACUGACGCUCAUGCACGAAAGCGUGGGGAGCAAACAGGAUUAGAUACCCUGGUAGUCCACGCCCUAAACGAUGGGUACUAGCCGUUUGGUGCGCGAUAGCGCUGAGUGGCGAAGCUAACGCGUGAAGUACCCCGCCUGGGGAGUACGGCCGCAAGGUUGAAACUCAAGGAAUUGACGGGGACCCGCACAGCGUGAUGAUGUGAUUAAUUCGAUGCAACGCGAAGAACCUUACCUACCCUUGACAUGCCCCGAACCU
rnacentral:rRNA from 1 species